AUGGUGGGCUGCCCGGCUGUUGCAGCAUCAAGCCGGUGGCUGGAAGGUCUUCGGAAGUGGUAUUACAAUGCUGCAGGGUUCAAUAAGCUGGGCUUAAUGCGAGAUGAUACAAUAUAUGAAGAUGAAGAUGUAAAAGAAGCCAUAAGAAGGCUUCCAGAAAACCUUUAUAAUGACAGGAUGUUUCGCAUUAAGAGAGCCCUGGACCUGAGCAUGAAGCAUCAGAUUUUGCCUAAAGAGCAGUGGACAAAACAUGAGGAGGAUAAAUUCUACCUUGAGCCAUAUCUCAAAGAGGUUAUUCGGGAAAGAAAAGAAAGAGAAGAAUGGGCAAAGAAGUAAUCACUUAAUGAAGUCUGUGAAAUGCAACUGUCUUCAAA